rnacentral:misc_RNA from 1 species
AUAUCAAUAAGUAGUGUGAAUUGCAGAAUUCAGUGAAUCAUCGAAUCUUUGAACGCACAUUGCGCCCCUUGGUAUUCCAUGGGGCAUGCCUGUUCGAGCGUCAUUUGUACCUUCAAGCUCUGCUUGGUGUUGGGUGUUUUGUCUCGCCUCUGCGUGUAGACUCGCCUUAAAACAAUUGGCAGCCGGCGUAUUGAUUUCGGAGCGCAGUACAUCUCGCGCUUUGCACUCAUAACGGCGACGUCCAAAAGUACAUUUUUACACUCUUGACCUCGGAUCAGGUAGGGAUACCCGCUGAGUUUAA